rnacentral:rRNA from 1 species
UACGUAGGGUGCGAGCGUUGUCCGGAAUUAUUGGGCGUAAAGGGCUCGUAGGCGGUCUGUCACGUCGGGAGUGAAAACUCGGGGCUUAACCCCGAGCCUGCUUCCGAUACGGGCAGACUAGAGGUAUGCAGGGGAGAACGGAAUUCCUGGUGUAGCGGUGAAAUGCGCAGAUAUCAGGAGGAACACCGGUGGCGAAGGCGGUUCUCUGGUCUGUAACUGACGCUGAGGCGCGAAAGCGUGGGGAGCGAACAGG